UAAUCUCAAUUUGUAAAUGUGA
rnacentral:miRNA from 1 species